CCCAGGUGCCCCAGGGCAAGAACAGUUUCAAUGAUUUUAUCUCAGCUCUUCAGAGGCUUACCCUGCAGAGAGGUUUCAUGCCCUUGGGCGAUUGCUGGAGGUCUGUGAGAAAACAGUGAGCUCCCGGCCUCGCUGGGCCACAGGCAGCACAGCAGUGGGCGGAGGGAGAGAACCUGCUGGUGUCUUACUGCUGCUGGAUGCCGUAGCCCAUGUUCGGUUCCAAACAUUAAUGUUGUAUUCUGUAAAUACAUGUGUGAGAAUGACUGGAUCCCUGUCCUGGACAGCAGUUGGCUUCACCCAGUUUCAACAAGAUGAAUAUUCCAAGACUGGCCUCGGGUGGCUCCUGCUCAUACUUCCAUAAGGAUAUUAAGUCAGAGGGCAAAUGAGAGACCAACUGACCAGGAAGGAAGACCAUGCCACAUCACUGGGAAGAAGGCGUGUUGGAAGGCAAGUGAGGGGUAAGUGGGACAGCAUCCGUCCGUUAACCACACGAAUCAUCAUGGCCAAACUUCCUCUUGAUUGACACAAUAUUCUAAUUGU
rnacentral:lncRNA from 1 species